CUGUAAUUCUCGAGCUCCUUAAGACAUCAGUUGUGCAACCUCCCUCCCAUUCUACUGUUUGCUUUUAUUGCUUGUGGGUCAGAAGCAGUGCAGUCUACAAGGAUUUCCUCCUUUCCUUCAAUUACUCCUGAAAGGCACUGCUUCUCAAGCCUGAUGUUUAAGUCAUGGAUUAUUUCCUAAACAGCACUGGGGCUGAAGCAGGAGGCAAAUGGCCGAUUCUCUCUGGAGGAAGAUGUGAAAAUCCAGGAUCCUGUGGACAUCGGUGGCUUUGGCUCCCUUGGGCGAGUGAGCAGAGUGAUGCUUCUCAGACUGCAGAAUGUCUUCCUGUUUGUGUAUCCUCUACUAUCAAUGCAAAGUACCUCUCAUCCAAUUUUCCACAGUCAACCCAAUGCGAAUACAAUCGACCCUCUGCGUCCUACUGUUCUGCAUCCCUGGAUUCAACCAACCAUCCAUUGAAGAUAUUUGGAAACAAAAACUGCACUUCUAGAGCAGCAAGAGACAUAGCACUCCUCCCCUGCAGAGACCACAGAAUCAUGGCGUCAUCUUGGAAGCAAAGAACAGCCCUCACCAGAC
rnacentral:lncRNA from 1 species